AGAGUUUGAUCCUGGCUCAGGAUAAACGCUGGCGGCGUGCCUAACACAUGCAAGUCGAACGCCCUCGGGUAACUGAGGGAGUGGCGGACGGGUGAGGAACACGUGGGUACCUACCAUGAGGUGAGGAAUACCGGCGAGAAAUCGCCGACAAUACCGCAUAUAUUCAGCAAUGAAUAAAGUCGUCAGACGCCACAUGAUGG
rnacentral:rRNA from 1 species